rnacentral:rRNA from 1 species
UGGGGAAUAUUGGACAAUGGGCGCAAGCCUGAUCCAGCCAUGCCGCGUGAGUGACGAAGGCCUUAGGGUUGUAAAGCUCUUUUGGCGGGGAAGAUAAUGACGGUACCCGCAGAAUAAGCUCCGGCUAACUUCGUGCCAGCAGCCGCGGUAAUACGAAGGGAGCUAGCGUUGUUCGGAAUCACUGGGCGUAAAGCGCACGUAGGUGGGCAGUUAAGUCAGGGGUGAAAGCCCGAGGCUCAACCUCGGAAUUGCCUCUGAUACUGGCUGUCUAGAGUUCGAGAGAGGUGAGUGGAAUUCCUAGUGUAGAGGUGAAAUUCGUAGAUAUUCGGUGGAACACCAGUGGCGAAGGCGACUCGCUGGACUGAUACUGACGCUGAGGUGCGAAAGCGUGGGGAGCAAACAGGAUUAGAUACCCCUGUAGUCCCUGAGCGGGCUGGCAAGGCGCAU